GAUGAACGCUGACAGAAUGCUUAACACAUGCAAGUCUUUGGCGAAGCUGUGCUUGCACAGCCUAGCCAAGGCGGACGGGUGAGUAACGCGUAAGGAACUUGCCCUGCAGUCAGGGAUAACAGACGGAAACGACUGAUAAGACCUGGUAAAGUCAGGCGGACUCAUGUCCAGCCUGAUGAAAAGGGAUGCUGCAGGAGAGCCUUGCGUCCUAUUAGCUUGUUGGUGGGGUAACGGCCCACCAAGGCGAUGAUAGGUAGCCGGCCUGAGAGGGUGGACGGCCACAAGGGGACUGAGAUACGGCCCUUACUCCUACGGGAGGCAGCAGUGGAGAAUAUUGGACAAUGGGGGCAACCCUGAUCCAGCAAUUCUGUGUGCACGAUGAAGGUUUUCGGAUUGUAAAGUGCUUUCAGCAGGGAAGAAAAAAAUGACGGUACCUGCAGAAGAAGCGACGGCUAAAUACGUG
rnacentral:rRNA from 1 species